AACAAACGCUGGCGGCGUGCCUAAUACACGCAAGUCGAACGGGGAAAGCUUUCGGGUGAGUACUAGUGGCGCACGGGUGAGUAACGCGUGGAUAAUCUGCCUUAGAGUGGGGGAUAACUAGUCGAAAGAUUAGCUAAUACCGCAUAAGACCACAAGAACUGCGGUUCAAGGGGUCAAAGGUUUUUCGCUCUAAGAUGAGUCCGCGUAAGAUUAGCUAGUUGGUAGGGUAACGGCCUACCAAGGCGACGAUCUUUAACUGGUCUGAGAGGAUGACCAGUCACACUGGAACUGCGACACGGUCCAGACUCCUACGGGAGGCAGCAGUAGGGAAUAUUGCACAAUGGAGGAAACUCUGAUGCAGCGACGCCGCGUGAGUGAUGAAGGCCUUCGGGUCGUAAAGCUCUGUCGCAGGGGAAUAACACAAUGAAGGUACCCUGUAAGAAAGGAUCGGCUAACUUCGUGCCAGCCGCCGCCGUAAUAC
rnacentral:rRNA from 1 species